rnacentral:lncRNA from 1 species
GGGGGUGAAUCCUUGGUGGUCCCUACCCUUAAAAAUCACCUAAUAAACGUGGUUAAGGACAAAGCACUCACAUUCACGGAAGUUCUUCCUUCUCCGAGGAACAGAAGACUGCAAAGGGGGUGGGGAUUCCACCCCAUGAUCUUUUCAUCUGUAGCUAUUCCUCCUUAGGUUGCUGGUGAUUCGGUCUGCUCUUGUUCUUGUAGUUACAGCUUCCUUCCUCCUCCGUUCUCCGCUUUCAGCUUUGAGGGCUUGAGGGAUGGGGAGGCUACGGGUUCCUGUUGUUACGGCUUGUUUGUUCGCUUCAUAGCUUUUGUGUUCUUGCUGGCGCCCUCGGGCUUUUUAUCGGAUCCCCGUCACUCUUGCUCCUUUGUUAAGAGUGCUUGUUUGGAUCCGAUCUUUUGUACUUUUGUCCUCCUCAUUAAUAUUAUUACCUUUACCAAAAAAGAAA